CGAGCCCAGGGUAAAGAAUUACGUACACCCCGGGUACAUAUCGAUAUGUACAAAUAUACGAAGAGCCUGUGGUAUGGUAUGGGUAGUUACACUAGUACCGCCGGCCUCUACGACGCCGGUAGACAAUCGAUACUGUUGCUGACAAGGUCUGCUCUCUACACUCGGUGUCUACACAGGUCGAAACCGGAGGCCAUCUUUACGUGGCUCUUGACAAAGAAACCAUUCGUCGUGUUCCAGUCACGACUUGAGACUUGACUUUGACCGUUUUCUCCGCGCAUUUGAAUCAUAAUUGAAUCUUGACGCUUCGAGCGCUGCUACCACUACCGCCUCUACUCAAGUGGUAACAGGAUUGGGUUGUAAAAAUAUUAUUAAUUUUGAGGUAGACUCACGUGAGCGCCGGACUUUGGUCGGCGAGAUGCACAAGGCCAACCGGUGGACUUUCCAGUGGCUGACAAGCUUGGAUUAAAGUGACAGACGUCCUACCAGGCUCAUGGGGGACAGGAUGGGACAAAUCUCCAGACAUUACCGCUUACACGCCGUCGAAGAUGCUUCAACAGCGCACUGCAAAGAAUCGAGAGAUGAUUUACAAAGUGCUAAAUCGAAUCUUUCGUCAUACAAAAUUGUGGAACUCUUGGAAAAGCUUCGAAAGCCAAAAGGUUAGUGAGCGUAAUUGGGGAUAACGAAAAUGGCAGACUAGGUAAGUCGAAGAGAGUUUAUAGGCUGAGUUUCGGCCAGCAGUUAAGAUGAUAAAAAUCUGUGAGUCAAAUCGAACGGUGCACAGCUUUCCCCGGCAC